rnacentral:rRNA from 1 species
GACGUAGGGCGCGAGCGUUGUCCGGAUUUAUUGGCGUAAAGAGCUCGUAGGCGGCUUGUCGCGUCGUCUGUGAAAUCCCGCGGCUCAACUGCGGCUGCAGUCGAUACGGGCAGGCUGGAGUUCGGUAGGGAGACUGGAAUUCCUGGUGUAGCGGUGAAAUGCGCAGAUAUCGAGAGGAACACCUGCGGCGAAGGCGGUGCUGGCUGAUGACUGACGCUGAGGAGCGAAGCGUGGGGAGC